GGGGGCAUAGUUUUAAUGGCAAAACGUCGGUCUCCAAAACCGAAUUUCCGGGUUCGAGUCCUGGUGCCCCCGCCA
rnacentral:tRNA from 1 species